AUAUGUGAGGGUAAACUAGUUUUAACAUCUAUUGCUCUAAUAGCAAGGUUAUUUUGGUUAACUCAGCUAGCUAAGCAGAUAUCUCUUUCCUCCAUCAUGUCAUAUACAACCCUUCCGAAGCUUCAAGCUUGGUCUGAAAGUAUCUAGACAGAAGAAAACGGUUCUUCAAUCCCUCGA
rnacentral:snRNA from 1 species